GAUGAACGCUGGCGGCGUGCCUAAUACAUGCAAGUCGAACGCUGGAGCUCUAGCUUGCUAGAUCGAAGGAGUGGCGAACGGGUGAGUAAUACAUAAGCAACCUACCCACGAAGACUGGGAUAAUCUCUGGAAACGGGGACUAAUACCGGAUAGGUAAUCGGAAGGCAUCUUCUGGUUAUUAAAGGUUAAAAACACUGGUGGAUGGGCUUAUGGCGCAUUAGUUAGUUGGUGAGGUAACGGCCCACCAAGACGAUGAUGCGUAGCCGGCCUGAGAGGGUGAACGGCCACAUUGGGACUGAGACACGGCCCAGACUCCUACGGGAGGCAGCAGUAGGGAAUUUUCGGCAAUGGGGGCAACCCUGACCGAGCAACGCCGCGUGAGUGAAGACGGCCUUCGGGUUGUAAAGCUCUGCUGUAAGGGAAGAACGGUAGAUAGAGAAUAUCUAAGUGACGGUACCUUACCAGAAAGCCACGGCUAACUACGUG
rnacentral:rRNA from 1 species